rnacentral:snRNA from 2 species
AUACUUAUCUGAACGGGGUCAAUGGGCGAUCAAUACAACCUAUGGCCUAGGUUGGUGACUCUCAUUGCACUUUGGAGGGGUGCCUGUCUAAGGUCAAUCCAAUUGAUCGAGCCUACGUCAUAAUUUGUGGCAGUGGGGCCUGCGAAUGCUCUU